GCUGGGCAUGGUGGUGCAUGCCUGUAAUCCUAGCUACUUGGGAGGCUGAGGCAGGAGAAUCACUUGAAUCCGGGAGACAGAGGUUGCAGUGAGCAGAGAUUAUGCCUCUACACUCUAGCCUGGGUGACAGAGUGAGACUCCGUCUCAA
rnacentral:SRP_RNA from 1 species